UCAGUGCUUGUACCUGGAUCUUGCUACAACCAUGAAGUCAUUAGGUACCUUCCUUCUUCUGAGCCUUCUUGUCAUUUCGUUGGAAAUGACGCAUGCAUCUGGCAAGAAAAUCCCAAAAGAAAAGCCUGGAAUUUGUCCAAUAGACAGCUGCAGAUGCACCGGGCCUCAGCCUAAUCAAUGCAUGAAUGAUCAUAUUUGUGAAGGAAAAAAGAAGUGUUGUUACUCUUGUUGUGCAAUGCGCUGUGUGAACCCAGCAUAAGAAUUCCUCUUCAUCAUCAUCAUACAGUUGCUGCAUACCAGAUGCAUAACAGCAACUAGCCAUGGCUUGUUAUUUUUAUGAAGACUGAACCAAAAGUGAAAUAUUUUGAAGAUAACCAGGAUUUUUGUGUGUGUGUGCUAUUCCACCCAAAUUCUUCCCUUAUUCAAGCAUGGUCUAAUUCUAUCUAAUAAACAUUUUCAAAAGAA